rnacentral:rRNA from 1 species
AGAGUUUGAUCCUGGCUCAGAAUGAACGUUGGCGGCGUGGAUUAGGCAUGCAAGUCGUACGGACCGUGGUAGCAAUAUUACGGUUAGUGGCGCAAGGGAGAGUAAUACGUAGGUAUUUACCCUGGGGUCUGGGAUAGCGGCGGGAAACUGCCGGUAAUACCAGAUGAUAUCUCUGGAUCAGAGGUGUGAUUCCGCCCUAGGAGAAGCCUGCGGUCUAUCAGCUAGUUGGUAGGGUAACGGCCUACCAAGGCAAAGACGGAUAUGGGGCGUGAGAGCGUGCCCCCACUCACUGGGACUGAGACACUGCCCAGACACCUACGGGUGGCUGCAGUCGAGAAUCUUCGGCAAUGGGCGCAAGCCUGACCGAGCGACGCCGCGUGCGGGAUGAAGGCCUUCGGGUUGUAAACCGCUGUCGAAGGGGAGGAAAUUGUAGUGGGUUCACCCAUUAUAUUGACCGAUCCUUGGAGGAAGGGCCGGCUAAUCUCGUGCCAGCAGCCGCGGUAAUACGAGAGGCCCAAACGUUAUUCGGAUUUACUGGGCUUAAAGAGUUCGUAGGCGGUUCGGUAAGUGAGGUGUGAAAGCCCUCGGCUCAACCGAGGAAUUGCGCUUCAAACUGCCGGGCUCGAGGGAGAUAGAGGUGAGCGGAACUGAUGGUGGAGCGGUGAAAUGCGUUGAUAUCAUCAGGAACACCAGAGGCGAAGGCGGCUCACUGGGUCUCUUCUGACGCUGAGGAACGAAAGCUAGGGGAGCAAACGGGAUUAGAUACCCCGGUAGUCCUAGCCGUAAACGAUGAGCACUGG